GCUGGGCACAGUGGCUUGUGUCUGUAAUCCAAGUGUCUGGGAGGAUGAGGUUGGUGGACUGCUUAAACCUGGGAGUUCAAGGCUCUAGCAGGCCAUGUUGAGCAGGUGUCCAAACUGGGGUCGGCACCAGCAUGGGGACCCUGAGGUAGCUUGGAGUCUCCAGGUUGCUUAAGGAGGGGUGAACUGGCCCAGGCUGGGAACAGAGCAGGUCAAAGCUCCCUUGCUGACUGGUGGUGGGACAGCACCUGUGAAUGGCUCCUGUAGUCUAACCUGGGUCAGAAAGGGGGACCCUGCCUUUU
rnacentral:SRP_RNA from 1 species